GUCGGGGUCGCAUAGUGGCCGUGCGCCAGACUGCAGAUUUGGUCCACGUGGGUUCGACUCCCACCCCCGGCUCCA
rnacentral:tRNA from 1 species